rnacentral:rRNA from 1 species
CCCUUAGAUGUCCUGGGCCGCACGCGCGCUACACUGACAUGUUCAACAAGCCUCCUAGUUCGACAGGAUUUGGGAAAUCUUUGAACGCAUGUCGUGAUAGGGAUAGAUCAUUGCAAUUAUUGAUCUUGAACGAGGAAUUCCCAGUAAACGCGAGUCAUCAGCUCGCAUUGAUUACGUCCCUGCCCUUUGUACACACCGCCCGUCGCACCUACCGAUUGAAUGUUUCGGUGAAGAUUCCGGAUAGGACUUUUUUGAUUUAUUUCAAUUUUGUCUUAAAAGCUAUCUAAACCUCAACAUUUAGAGGAAGGUGAAGUCGUAACA